UACGUAGGGUGUGAGCGUUAAUCGGAAUUACUGGGCGUAAAGCGUGCGCAGGCGGUUGGUUAAGUCUGAUGUGAAAGCCCCGAGCUCAACUUGGGAAUGGCAUUGGAAACUGGCUGGCUAGAGUGUGGCAGAGGGGGGUGGAAUUCCGCGUGUAGCAGUGAAAUGCGUAGAGAUGCGGAAGAACACCGAUGGCGAAGGCAGCCCCCUGGGCUGACACUGACGCUCAGGCACGAAAGCGUGGGGAGCAAACAGG
rnacentral:rRNA from 1 species